CCUACGGGAGGCUGCAGUGAGGAAUAUUGGUCAAUGGGCGCGAGCCUGAACCAGCCAAGUAGCGUGAAGGAUGACUGCCCUACGGGUUGUAAACUUCUUUUAUAAAGGCAUAAAGUGAGGCACGUGUGCCUUUUUGUCUGGACUUUAUGAAUAAGGAUCGGCUAACUCCGUGCCAGCAGCCGCGGUAAUCCGGAGGAUCCGAGCGUUAUCCGGAUUUAUUGGGUUUAAAGGGAGCGUAGAUGGUUAGUUAAGUCAGUUGUGAAAGUUUGCGGCUCAACCGUAAAAUUGCAAUUGAUACUGGCAGCCUUGAGUGCAGUUGAGGUAGGCGGAAUUCGUGGUGUAGCGGUGAAAUGCUUAGAUAUCACGAAGAACACCGAUUGCGAAGGCAGCUUACUAAACUGCCACUGACACUGAUGCUCGAAAGUGUGGGUAUCAAACAGGAUUAGAGACCCCUGUAGUC
rnacentral:rRNA from 1 species